GUGCUCGCUUCGGCAGCACAUAGACUAAAAUUGGAAUGAUACAGAGAAGAUCAGCGUGGCCCCUGCGCAAGGAUGAUACGCAAAUUCGUGAAGGAGUGAUUUUUUUC
rnacentral:snRNA from 1 species